rnacentral:rRNA from 1 species
UAGUGGCGAACGGGUGAGUAACACGUGAGUAACCUGCCCUUAACUCUGGGAUAAGCCUGGGAAACUGGGUCUAAUACCGGAUAUGACUCCUCAUCGCAUGGUGGGGGGUGGAAAGCUUUUUUGUGGUUUUGGAUGGACUCGCGGCCUAUCAGCUUGUUGGUGAGGUAAUGGCUCACCAAGGCGACGACGGGUAGCCGGCCUGAGAGGGCGACCGGCCACACUGGGACUGAGAUACGGCCCAGACUCCUACGGGAGGCAGCAGUGGGGAAUAUUGCACAAUGGGCGAAAGCCUGAUGCAGCGACGCCGCGUGAGGGAUGGAGGCCUUCGGGUUGUAAACCUCUUUCAGCAGGGAAGAAGCGAAAGUGACGGUACCUGCAGAAGAAGCGCCGGCUAACUACGUGCCAGCAGCCGCGGUAAUACGUAGGGCGCAAGCGUUGUCCGGAAUUAUUGGGCGUAAAGAGCUCGUAGGCGGUUUGUCGCGUCUGCUGUGAAAACUCGAGGCUCAACCUCGGGCUUGCAGUGGGUA